UCAGGUUAACCAACCACUUGCAAUGACCCUAUUUCUAAAUAAGGUCACAUUCUGAGGUACUCAGGGUGAGGACUUCAACACAUAAACAGACAAAAUUCUAAAGGGGAAAUGGAAAAAAAAAAAAGCCAGAGGUGGCUAUUAAUGUCAGACAAAAUGGAUUCUGAGGAAAAAUUAAUAAAAAUACAAUCCAAAUAGAAACUCUCACAGUCAUGGAUAUGUUUGUAUUAAGCAAUAAGAUAAAAAUAUAUAAAACCA
rnacentral:lncRNA from 1 species